UUUCCCUCCCCCUCGCCGCCCCGGACCAAUUUUGGUAUCAUUUGGAAAGUUUAAGACCUCUGAGGACUUGAAAGACUUUUAAAAGUGAGAUCCGGAAGGUUUUUAUUCUGCAGCUUGGUGGUGGCCAUUGUGUAUAUCAUGUGGCUUGUAUUUAAAGGUGUUUGGGCUCGGGUUUUUCCGUUUUGUUUUGUCUAAACUCUUAAUUUUUUUAACCGUCUAUUAGAGGUUUGCCAGUGGUUGCCAGCAAAAUGUAACAUACAGCUUUUGGUUAAUGGACUAGGGAAGGCUAACCACUUUCCUUAUAGUACUGAUUUUCCAAUUAGACUUUCUGCCAGGGGAAGUUGGAGGGGGAAGGGGUAUUUGCAUGCACAUAAACUGUUGACUAUUCAUGUGACUUUUUCUUUUUUUUUUUUUUUUUUUAGCUUGUUAAACCCCUGUAAAUAAGUCUAUUGAUUCUUAGUUAUCAUUUUCGAAGCAAAGUUUUCAAGUGCCUGUUUUAACCACACGAUUUAUAUCAUGCUGUGAUUUUGCUUUAUUUUAAGCCAUUUGUAUAUUUUAUUACCGCUCCUCUUUUAUUGUCUAUCGGCUGCUUUUAUGAUGAGGUUUUUAACUCAACAUCAUUUUUUCACUGAAGCUCUUGGUAAAUACUUUUCUUUCACACCUCGGUGCUCCGUUUUUUCAGAGGAAUAGCUGAAAUUGCUCAGAUUUCCAGUCCUGGAAGAUAACCUACCCCCAUCUAUCAAAAGAAAAGAGGAAGACCAAUUUACAUUCACAGACUGAGAAAUAAGUCACCUUCACCUCAUACCACCACAUCCUGGAUCUAUCAGUUAUUUUAAAGAUAUAGAAGUUCCUCAGGUUACAUCCUUCCCAGCAGAUCAUUUCAGCCCGUGUUUCAUUUUAAGCUGCUGAGUCGAUCAGUGGAACAAUUUCCUGCUUAGAGUUGAUUACCAGCAUCACUGCAAGCCCAGAAGGCAGGUCAUCUGCCACAGGAUCGAUCUCUGCCUGAGACCAUCUAGCUGUCCAGGCUUUGCCAUCACUGACAAUUUCAGUGUCCCCCAGACUUUUGGCAUUUGAGUUAUCAAUUAAUAAUGCUGCGCAACGUGUUUUUUGUUUUGGCUUGUUACUGAGUUAUCAGUGUCUCUUGUAUGGACAAGUUGUAGUAGUUAUGGUGCAGAUAUAUAGACUGAAAUACCGCCAAUGACAUUCUUUAGUUAUAUACCGCCGAUAAAUAAAAUGCAUACAUUUUGUAGAGGUUUGUACUGAAAUUGCCCUCAAGAAGAGUGCUCUUGAGGAAACCACCAGGACCACCUGGAGGCACGUUUACCUUGCGGUUGGUGGAGAGUGUGAGGGCAGGCCAGACCCUGGGCCAUAAACCCCAGCUAGCCACAGGCAGCUAAGAGACUGCCUCAAGUAAAUAAUUAGGAGAUAGAUACGCAAAAGAAAAAAGUGACAUCUCUUCAUGCAUCAUGUGAAGCAUCUCCAGCUCUACUGGAUAGUUACUUUGAAGAGCUUGACUCAGUCACCUGAAAUGAGAAUUUACAGAGGAUGCUCAGUAUAGACUGAAAAUGUUAUAAGCAGCUCGAAUGGCAUCUUCCCUGGUGCAUCCUUCUCUGGGGAAAAAAAAAGCCUCAACCUUGCCAGCUGUACAUGCUGGUGCUGCUCCCACAGAGGAAAAGGGCUGCCAGGGUUGGCUGGAAAGACCCCAGGGAGCCCUAGGGAAGACCUGAACAUGAAAAUAUUUUGUAUCAGAUCUGGUUACAUCCAACUGUAAAAUUAGUAGCAACACAGACACCUGGUAGUUACGUUUCAUGGGCUAAUAAAUACACUGAAGGGCAGAGGGGAUUGUGCUAAGCCUUUGCUCUGACCUGCCCAGAAUCAGCCUAUGCUAUUUGAUUUUAUAGAGUUUAGCUCCCAGCUUUCUUCAGGGGCUAGCAGGUCAUUAGGGUAGGCUGCUUUGUCUGAACUUAGGUGGGAGAGCCCUGAGAACAUACUAGAGCUGAAGGAAAUGGGAUGAGGUCCCUGCUUUCUCUUCCUUAUGCGUUACACUGAGCUGUAAUUGGAGGCACCCUGUGGUGGUACUGUAAAGUCUUGAAACAGUUUCCAUUUGCUCAUGGUUUUGACAGUUGUUGAACUUUUCAGAGGGGUGAGAGAGGAACAGGUUUGUAGGCUGCAAAGACCACGUAUAUGCAUUUGGGAACUGCUGUGGUGGGUGCAUACGGCCGCAGAGACGGGAAGCCGUAUGACAAGUGAUUGUCAGUAUUUCCUAUGGGAAUCAAUUGCUGAGGCAGGACUGCUUAAGAAAAAGAGGUUUGGGGUAAAGUUUCAGCCUAAUAUUCUAUCUGCAACCCACUCCAAUCCAGGACUGUCUUAUUCCUACUGUGAAUAAAAGAGACUUCCAGGUAGAAGGUGCCCAGAGGCGGGAUCAUUGCUUCUCCUUUACCAAAGGGCAGAGGCACAGAGCUCCGAGGAAUCAGCUAUUCUGUGCCAGGAGGCAGGCAAGGGGUGACAGAUCUACUGGUAGGGGGCUGCCUUUGGGUGGUUUCAUGUAGCUCCAUCGGCACAUAAACUCGGUCUCUAGCUUUUAAAAUAAUACAUUAUUAGAGACAUAUAAACGUGUGAUAUCUGCACACCUGGACUGGGUCUGGAGAGCCCAUGAAACAUGUUAGACUUGUUAUUACUUGAUUAUUCCUUUGCACAGGUGUACGUUCCUGCUCCCAAACGCUUAUGAAAGGUUUCUGCUGAUGUGUAUAGACUCACAGCGUUGAAGGCUAGGGAAAGCCUCUUGAUGUAUUACAACUCAACUCAUCGUGUGCCAUUGCCCCCACAUUAAAUGCAUUAACUUAGUUUUAGUUACAGCAGGUCUUCUGGUCUUGCUUUGAAAAUAUCAAAAAAAGACGGUAUCCACUUUGUGCCUUGAAAGUUAGCCUUCGGCCACUCUUGCUGUUAAAAAAAAAAAAAAAAACACCUAAAUUCUCGCUUGAGUUUGUUUGACUUCAGCUUGCAGAUAUCCGUUUUUCACUGGAAGAUUAAAAAUGUCAUCAGUAUCCACCAGAUAUUUCCAGGCAGAUCUCAUAGAUACUUAAAUACUUACACAUUAUACCCGUGUCACGUCUCAGUCUUUUUUCCAGUAAGCUAGGCAGAUUGAGUGCUUUAAGUCUUUCACCAUUAAGCACUUUUUUCAGCCCUGAAAUCCUCUCUGUGGCUCUUUUCUGCACCCUCUCCAGUUUUCCAACAAUCUUUUAAAAGUGCGAGCACCAGAAACCGCAUAAUCUUAUAUUGUCUGUAUUAAAACCAAUUGUGUUUGAAUGGGCUCGGCUCAUCAAGCAACUGAGAUCACUUGGAGUGUCAUUCUCAUCAUUGUCUGUCACUCCACCAAUGUUCCUGUCAUCCUCAAAUUUAUCAGCUGUGAAUUUACAGUGUUUACAACCAAAUCAUUGAAGAAAACAUUGACUAGCAUCUGACCUGAUGCUGAUCCUGGUAAAACUCUCCUCUUUGAUAACGCUUCCUGAUUCAUAGCUACUUUUUAACAGGCUGUUAGCCAAUUCCUAAUCUAAUUAGUGCAUGCUCUGUUGCAAUUUCUAAUGUUUUUUGAUCAGAAUAUCACACAGUGUUAAUUCUAAUCUCCAUAAAAAAAUGAGUAUCACA